rnacentral:miRNA from 1 species
CAAAUUAUACUGAGAGAGGGGUGGUUGAGGAGCGCGUUUGUAAAUUUCUCAUAUUUGGGGAAUAUGAGAAAUUUACAGACCCGCUUCUCAACCACCCCUCCCUCAGUAUAAUUUG